GAGAAAGCUUUGUGAGAAAGGCGUGUUUGCGCGCUGAACUCCCGACUCCCGAGGCAUCGUGCAACUAGUUUUUCCGGCGCCGAAGGAGCUUUUAUCAAGCGUGACUUUCCACCCACCCUUCUUCGCAGUGUUACGGGCACACGGUCACCGCUGAGCUGCGGGUGUAGCCCGAAGGACUUGAGACCUCGUGUUCUGAGGGAGGACAGAGCUCACCGUCUCCAGCUGAGGAAGAGUAAGGUCAGCCGUGGUGAGUUAUACUCACAGAGGAGUUGUAAUUUUCGACCUGUCUUAAGAUGAUCAUAUACUUCACCUGAAGAAUAAAGUAGAAACAGACUACAAAAGACAGGGACCACUUUAAUCUCAAGGCAAAAAUGAGGUUUGGAUUAAAAUGACCAUGAAGUGUAAUUAUUAGCAACUGUGAGAGAUGUCACCCAGAAGAUGAGAAGGAUAUAGAGAGGCAAGCUGUUCUUUUCUUCAUGAAGGAUGCAGAGGAGUAUCCAAGGUGGCCCUGUCAUGCUCCUGCCUACCCACCUCACCAUGGUUUGUUUCUCCAUCCUGAAUUUCUGUGUUCCUCAAGGACAGUGACUCCCACAAGCCAAGGAGCAUUUGGAUGUAUGAGUGAUAUAUUCUCUGGCCUCUCCCUGGUUGUAUAGGUAAGUCUGGCUGAACUGCGGACCUAUACCACAGCCACAGUAACGUGGGAUCCAAGCCUCCAAGCCUUGUCUGCUGCCUAUGCCACAGCUCAUGGCAAUGCUGGAUCCUUAACUCACUGAGCAAGGCCAGGGAUCAAAUCCGUGUCCUCAUGGAUACUAGUCAGGUUUGUUACCACUAAGCCCCAAUGGGAACUCCAAGAACCUUCAAACUUUAAUUGGAAACGUUUAGACCAUUUACAUCUAGUGAAAUUGUGAUCCUCAAAUAUUUUCUUCUUGCUUUCUUUUGGAUUAACCAAUUAUUUUUAUCAUUCUAUUUUCCUUUUCUUAGCUUAUUGAAUGUAUUUUUUUGUUGUUCCUUUAGGUAACCUAGAUAUUAUGAAAAGCAUCUUGAUUUAUUAGAGUCCAACAUAAGUUAGCAAUUUUAACACAUUUCAGUCAAGGAACCCAAAAAUAAUUUAAAUCUAUUUACUAUCCUUUUACCUUUUUAUUAUUAUUUCUCUGUAUUUUCAAUUGAUAAUAUAUUUUAAACUUCACAAGCUGUUACUGUCAUUGCUUUAAAUAUUUAUAUCAUUUAAAUUUACCUUCUUACUCUUGCUGGAACCCUUUAUUCUCUGAUGCAUUACUGUUCCUCCAUCUAAGAUCAUUUUCCUGUUGCUUGUAGAAAUCUUUUUGGAAAAAGUUCUUUCUUUCUGUGUGAGCCUGUUGACAGUGAGUUCUGUCAGUUUAUAUUUAUUUGAAAAUUUUCUAUUUUUCAUUCCAAAUUUCUUUUCUUUUAAAGAAUAUUUUUAAAGAUAAAAGUUAUAUUUGGGGUGAAUAUUUUUACUGAUUUUAGGAUUUUUUUUCUUUCAGCUUAAUUGCAACAUAAUUAUUAUAUAGCACUGUAUAAGUUUAAGGUGUAUGGCAUAUACAUCAUUUCAUAUAUUGUGAAAUAGUUAUCAAAUUGAAUUUAUGUAAUGUCCAUCACCUCAUAGAAAUAAAAAAAGAAAGAGAGGAGUUCCUGUCGUGGCACAGUGGUUAACGAAUCUGACUAGGAACCAUGAGGUUGUAGGUUCAAUCCCUGGCCUUGCUCAGUGGGUCGAGGAUCCGGCUUGCCCGUGAGCUGUGGGUGUAGGUUGCAGACGCAGCUCAGAUCCUGCCUUGCUGUGGCUCUGGCAUAGGCGGCCCUGAUUAGACUCCUAGCCUGGGAAUCUCCAUAUGCUGCCCUAGAAAAGG
rnacentral:lncRNA from 1 species